rnacentral:rRNA from 1 species
GACGAACGUUGGCGGCGUGCUUAACACAUGCAAGUCGAACGGAAAGGCCCUGCUUUUGUGGGGUGCUCGAGUGGCGAACGGGUGAGUAACACGUGAGUAACCUGCCCUUGACUUUGGGAUAACUUCAGGAAACUGGGGCUAAUACCGGAUAGGAGCUCCUGCUGCAUGGUGGGGGUUGGAAAGUUUCGGCGGUUGGGGAUGGACUCGCGGCUUAUCAGCUUGUUGGUGGGGUAGUGGCUUACCAAGGCUUUGACGGGUAGCCGGCCUGAGAGGGUGACCGGCCACAUUGGGACUGAGAUACGGCCCAGACUCCUACGGGAGGCAGCAGUGGGGAAUAUUGCACAAUGGGCGGAAGCCUGAUGCAGCAACGCCGCGUGCGGGAUGACGGCCUUCGGGUUGUAAACCGCUUUCGCCUGUGACGAAGCGUGAGUGACGGUAAUGGGUAAAGAAGCACCGGCUAACUACGUGCCAGCAGCCGCGGUGAUACGUAGGGUGCGAGCGUUGUCCGGAUUUAUUGGGCGUAAAGGGCUCGUAGGUGGUUGAUCGCGUCGGAAGUGUAAUCUUGGGGCUUAACCCUGAGCGUGCUUUCGAUACGGGUUGACUUGAGGAAGGUAGGGGAGAAUGGAAUUCCUGGUGGAGCGGUGGAAUGCGCAGAUAUCAGGAGGAACACCAGUGGCGAAGGCGGUUCUCUGGGCCUUUCCUGACGCUGAGGAGCGAAAGCGUGGGGAGCGAACAGGCUUAGAUACCCUGGUAGUCCACGCUGUAAACGGUGGGUACUAGGUGUGGGGUCCAUUCCACGGGUUCCGUGCCGUAGCUAACGCUUUAAGUACCCCGCCUGGGGAGUACGGCCGCAAGGCUAAAACUCAAAGGAAUUGACGGGGCCCCGCACAAGCGGCGGAGCAUGCGGAUUAAUUCGAUGCAACGCGUAGAACCUUACCUGGGUUUGACAUGGAUCGGGAGUGCUCAGAGAUGGGUGUGCCUCUUUUGGGGUCGGUUCACAGGUGGUGCAUGGCUGUCGUCAGCUCGUGUCGUGAGAUGUUGGGUUAAGUCCCGCAACGAGCGCAACCCUUGUUCACUGUUGCCAGCACGUUAUGGUGGGGACUCAGUGGAGACCGCCGGGGUCAACUCGGAGGAAGGUGGGGAUGACGUCAAGUCAUCAUGCCCCUUAUGUCCAGGGCUUCACGCAUGCUACAAUGGCUGGUACAGAGAGUGGCGAGCCUGUGAGGGUGAGCGAAUCUCGGAAAGCCGGUCUCAGUUCGGAUUGGGGUCUGCAACUCGACCUCAUGGAGUCGGAGUCGCUAGUAAUCGCAGAUCAGCAACGCUGCGGUGAAUACGUUCCCGGG